rnacentral:rRNA from 1 species
GACGAACGCUGGCGGCGUGCUUAACACAUGCAAGUCGAACGGUGAUCUUGGGAGCUUGCUCCUGGGUGAUCAGAGGCGAACGGGUGAGUAACACGUGAGUAACCUGCCCCUGACUCUGGAAUAACUUCGGGAAACCGAAGCUAAUACCGGAUAUGACACAGAGCCGCAUGGUUUCUGUGUGGAAAGUUUUUUCGGUUGGGGAUGGACUCGCGGCCUAUCAGCUUGUUGGUGAGGUAAUGGCUCACCAAGGCGACGACGGGUAGCCGGCCUGAGAGGGCGACCGGCCACACUGGGACUGAGACACGGCCCAGACUCCUACGGGAGGCAGCAGUGGGGAAUAUUGCACAAUGGGCGAAAGCCUGAUGCAGCGACGCCGCGUGAGGGAUGAAGGCCUUCGGGUUGUAAACCUCUUUCAGUAGGGAAGAAGCGCAAGUGACGGUACCUACAGAAGAAGCACCGGCUAACUACGUGCCAGCCGCCGCCGUAAAAC